UUUUUUUUUUUUUUUUUUUUAAUGUGCGUAUGUCCGUGCUGAGCCGGAGCCGCCGGAUUGCGACCUGCCUCCCAGGCGCGCUGCCUGCCCCUCUAGGAAGCCCCGGGAAGUUCCCAGCUGAGCUGGCUGCCCUGAAGGAUGGCGGAGCUGGGACAGUCGCAGUACAAGUAUAAUAUUGCAGUGUCAGGAGGACCUUGGCUGACAGCCCAGCAGUGUGGGACAUGUUUGUAGAAGAUGAAGCAGAAGAGAUGACAUGAAAGUUAUUUUUGUCUAUCAGCUGAAGCAUUAUAGAGACAUCAACAAGCUCUUGUCUCAUGCCAGCUUAAUUCCUAGUUAAUCAGCAGUCUGCUUGGGCAAAGGAAGAAAUUCACGUCGGGGCUGCUGAUGAGCCAAACUUCCCGGCGAGGAUUUGGGAGCCUGAGGGAGUCCUGAUCGCUGGUUUAAUGCUAGCUUGGAUGUGCUGCUGCUCACAGUGUGCAGCGUCCCUGAAAGAGUUACAUGCCUUUCUGCGACAAGGAUUCCAUCGCUGCCACAAUUGCAUUCAGCCUUAAGGUCACAAGCAGCUUUUGAGUCCUCUCUGAGAUCUUCCCCAACUGAGCAGGUCCCUCAGGUUGAAUGACUGGGGAGCAGAUCCCAGGACCACCCUGGGGAAUACUGAAGAGCCAGACCAUCUGUGGGGCGACAACUAGGAUCCUUCAUUUUGGAGGAAGGAAAAAAGGUGUCUGGCCCUGGUUUCCUUCUCCCUCUUCAUGUACUGAAGAUGAUCGGUUCCACAUUGCAAUGGAUGCUGUGGUGGGAUAGGACUUUGCUACAUCUCCUUCUCCAUUUUUAAAAAUAUUUUUCCUUCUACCACCUUGUCUUUUUUUGCCUUGAGGAUGUUAUCAAUAAAGAUUACAAUGUGUAA